GAUGAACGCUGGCGGCGUGCCUAAUACAUGCAAGUCGAGCGAACAGACGAGGAGCUUGCUCCUCUGACGUUAGCGGCGGACGGGUGAGUAACACGUGGAUAACCUACCUAUAAGACUGGGAUAACUUCGGGAAACCGGAGCUAAUACCGGAUAAUAUAUUGAACCGCAUGGUUCAAUAGUGAAAGACGGUUUUGCUGUCACUUAUAGAUGGAUCCGCGUCGCAUUAGCUAGUUGGUAAGGUAACGGCUUACCAAGGCGACGAUGCGUAGCCGACCUGAGAGGGUGAUCGGCCACACUGGAACUGAGAAACGGUCCAGACUCCUACGGGAGGCAGCAGUAGGGAAUCUUCCGCAAUGGGCGAAAGCCUGACGGAGCAACGCCGCGUGAGUGAUGAAGGUCUUCGGAUCGUAAAACUCUGUUAUUAGGGAAGAACAAAUGUGUAAGUAACUAUGCACGUCUUGACGGUACCUAAUCAGAAAGCCACGGCUAACUACGUG
rnacentral:rRNA from 1 species